rnacentral:rRNA from 1 species
CAGCAGUAGGGAAUCUUCCACAAUGGGCGCAAGCCUGAUGGAGCAACGCCGCGUGUGUGAUGAAGGGUUUCGGCUCGUAAAACACUGUUAUAAGAGAAGAACGGCACUGAGAGUAACUGUUCAGUGUGUGACGGUAUCUUACCAGAAAGGAACGGCUAAAUACGUGCCAGCAGCCGCGGUAAUACGUAUGUUCCAAGCGUUAUCCGGAUUUAUUGGGCGUAAAGCGAGCGCAGACGGUUAUUUAAGUCUGAAGUGAAAGCCCUCAGCUCAACUGAGGAAUUGCUUUGGAAACUGGAUGACUUGAGUGCAGUAGAGGAAAGUGGAACUCCAUGUGUAGCGGUGAAAUGCGUAGAUAUAUGGAAGAACACCAGUGGCGAAGGCGGCUUUCUGGACUGUAACUGACGUUGAGGCUCGAAAGUGUGGGUAGCAAACAGGAUUAGA